CGUCCGAAAAUACUUGUCAUCAAAAUGGAUAAAAAGAGAUGUAUCUAGAACUAAAAUAUGUCUAGAUACAUUCUCUUUUAUACAUUUUGAUGACAAGUAUUUCCGGACG
rfam:Triticum aestivum genome assembly, contig: Triticum_aestivum_CS42_TGACv1_scaffold_056210_1BS